AUGCAAGGGAAAUAUUUAUAGCUCUAAGAUGGGACUGUACGGUAUCAGUUAGUUGGUGAGGUAAUGGCUCACCAAGACAAUGACACCUAACUGGUUUGAGAGGAUGAUCAGUCACACUGGAACUGAGACACGGUCCAGACUCCUACGGGAGGCAGCAGUGGGGAAUAUUGCACAAUGGAGGAAACUCUGAUGCAGCAACGCCGCGUGGAGGAUGACACUUUUCGGAGCGUAAACUCCUUUUAUAUCCCAAGAUAAUGACGGUAGGAUAUGAAUAAGCACCGGCUAACUCCGUGCCAGCAGCCGCGGUAAUACGGGGGGUGCAAGCGUUACUCGGAAUCACUGGGCGUAAAGAGCGUGUAGGCGGGUUUGUAAGUUGGAAGUGAAAUCCUAUAGCUUAACUAUAGAACUGCUUCCAAAGCUGCUUACCUAGAAUGUGGGAGAGGUAGAUGGAAUUUCUGGUGUAGGGGUAAAAUCCGUAGAGAUCAGAAGGAAUACCGAUUGCGAAGGCGAUCUACUGGAACAUAAUUGACGCUGAGACGCGAAAGCGUGGGGAGCAAACAGGAUUAGAUACCCUGGUAGUCCACGCCCUAAACGAUGCACACUAGUUGUUGCUAUGCUCGACAUAGCAGUAAUGCAGUUAACACAUUAAGUGUGCCGCCUGGGGAGUACGGUCGCAAGAUUAAAACUCAAAGGAAUAGACGGGGACCCGCACAAGCGGUGGAGCAUGUGGUUUAAUUCGACAUACGCGAAGAACCUUACCUGGCCUUGACAUAGUAAGAACUUAGUAGAGAUACAUAGGUGCUAGCUUGCUAGAGCUUACAUACAGGUGCUGCACGGCUGUCGUCAGCUCGUGUCGUGAGAUGUUGGGUUAAGUCCCGCAACGAGCGCAACCCACGUCAUUAGUUGCUAACAGUUCGGCUGAGAACUCUAAUGAGACUGCCUACGCAAGUAGGAGGAAGGUGUGGACGACGUCAAGUCAUCAUGGCCCUUACGGCCAGGGCUACACACGUGCUACAAUGGGAUAUACAAAGAGCAGCGAUACCGCGAGGUGGAGCAAAUCUCUUAAAAUGUCUCCCAGUUCGGAUAGCACUCUGCAACUCGAGUGCUUGAAGUUGGAAUCGCUAGUAAUCGUAGAUCAGCAAUGCUACGGUGAAUACGUUCCCGGGUCUUGUACUCACCGCCCGUCACACCAUGGGAGUUGAAUUCAUUCGAAGCGGGGAUGCUAAAAUAGCUACCUUCCACAGUGGAUUUAGCGACUGGGGUGAAGUCGGAACAAGGUA
rnacentral:rRNA from 1 species